UCCAAAACCCAGCAGUGUAGUCAUUAAAUCUUUAAGCUCCAAAUUCUCCUUUGACACCAUGUCUCACAUCCAGAGCAUGCUGAUGCAAGGAGUGGGCUUCCAUGGCCUUGGACAG